UACCUACGGGGGGCAGCAGUGGGGAAUAUUGCACAAUGGGGGAAACCCUGAUGCAGCGACGCCGCGUGAGCGAGGAAGUACCUCGGUAUGUAAAGCUCUGUCAGCAGGGAAGAAAAUGACAGUACCUGACCAAGAAGCCCCGGCUAACUACGUGCCAGCAGCCGCGGUAAUACGUAGGGGGCAAGCGUUAUCCGGAUUUACUGGGUGUAAAGGGAGCGUAGACGGCAGCGCAAGUCUGGAGUGAAAUGCCGGGGCCCAACCCCGGAACUGCUUUGGAAACUGUGCGGCUCGAGGGCGGGAG
rnacentral:rRNA from 1 species